AUUUUGCGACCAGAUCAAGGUGCCGGGGGAAGCCUCGGGUAAAAGGGAAUCCGGGCAAGAUCCGGAACUGCCCCCGCAACUGUAGGCGGAAAGCCUGUCCGAUAGGCCACUGGCGCGCGUUGCGCUGGGAAGGCCGGACAAGGCGAAGACCCGCAAGUCAGGAAACCUGCCGCGAUCAUUCACCUGUU
rnacentral:ncRNA from 2 species